GACAGAGGGUGCAAACGUUGUUCGGAAUUACUGGGCGUAAAGCGCGUGUAGGCUGCUUCGAAAGUCGGAUGUGAAAGCCCUGGGCUCAACCUAGGAAGUGCAUUCGAAACUUCGAAGCUUGAGUUCUGGAGAGGAAGGCGGAAUUCUCGGUGUAGAGGUGAAAUUCGUAGAUAUCGAGAGGAACACCGGCGGCGAAAGCGGCCACCUGGACGAGGACUGACGCUGAGAUGCGAAAGCGUGGGGAGCAAACAGG
rnacentral:rRNA from 1 species